rnacentral:rRNA from 1 species
AUUGAACGCUGGCGGCAGGCCUAACACAUGCAAGUCGAGCGAGCGGCGGACGGGUGAGUAAUGUAUGGGAAACUGCCUGAUGGAGGGGGAUAACUACUGGAACCGGUAGCUAAUAACGCAUACCAUCAGAUGUGCCCAUAGGGGAUUAGCUAGUAGGUGAGUUAACUGCUAACCUAGGCGACGAUCCCUAGCUGGUCUGAGAGGAUGAUCAGCUACACGGGAACUGAGACACGGUCCAGACUCAGACGGUAGGGAGCAGUGGGGAAGAUUGCACAAGGGGGGAAAGGCUGAUGCAGCCAUGCCGCGUGUAUGAAGAAGGCCCGAGGGUUGGAAAGCACUGUCAGCGGGGAGGCGUUACCAACAGAAGAAGCACCGGCUAACUCCGUGCCAGCAGCCGCGGUAAUAC